UACGUAGGCAGCAAGCGUUGUUCGGAAUUACUGGGCGUAAAGAGUGUGUAGGCGGUGCUCUAAGUUCGUUGUGAAAUCUCCCGGCUUAACUGGGAGGGUGCGGCGGAAACUGGAGUGCUUGAGCGCGGGAGAGGAAAGCGGAAUUCCUGGUGUAGCGGUGAAAUGCGUAGAUAUCAGGAGGAACACCGGUGGCGAAGGCGGGUCUCUGGGCAGUAACUGACGCUGGAGGAGCGAAAGCGUGGGAGCGAACAGG
rnacentral:rRNA from 1 species